UACGUAGGGGGCAAGCGUUGUCCGGAAUCAUUGGGCGUAAAGCGCGUGUAGGCGGCUCGGGUAGUCUGGUGUGAAAUCUUUCGGCUCAACCGGAAGCGGUCACUGGAUACUCCCGGGCUUGAGUCCGGAAGAGGAGAGUGGAAUUCCUGGUGUAGCGGUGGAAUGCGCAGAUAUCAGGAGGAACACCAAUGGCGAAGGCAGCUCUCUGGUACGUGACUGACGCUGAGACGCGAAAAGCGUGGGGAGCGAACAGG
rnacentral:rRNA from 1 species